GUCUCAAUUAAAUUUUUAUUCCGGUGAAACUGCUAAUGGCUCGUUGAAGCACUGAAAUUUUAUUUGAUGGCCCUUCUUCCAUGGAUAACGGUGGUAUUUCUAGAGCUAAUGCAGGCACCAAAACCCGACUUCGGAAGGGUUGUGUUUAUUAAAUCCAAAACCAUCCCUGGCUCCCCAUGGUUUGGUGGUGACUCAUAAUAGCUCAACCAAACCGAUGGAUUCUCAGACGAUACAUACUUAAAGUUACUGACCUACUGCCUUCCAACGGAAGGGUAUAGGCCUACCGGGUCAAUGAAGGGCCACGGAGAAUUUGGUUUGGUUUCGGGAAAGGGAGCCGGAAAACUGCCUACC
rnacentral:rRNA from 1 species